ensembl:lncRNA
GGGGACCGAACCCAGGGCCUUGCGCUUCCUAGGUAAGCGCUCUACCACUGAGCUAAAUCCCCAGCCCCAACUAUCCUUUUUUUUUAAAGAUUUAUUUAUUUCAUGUAUGAGAAUACACUGUGGCUAUCUUCAGACACAGCAGAAGAGGUCAUCGGAUCCCAUUACAGAUGGUUGUGAGCCACCAUGUGGUUGCUGGGAAUUGAACUGAGAACCUCUGGAAGAGGAGUCAGUGCUCUUAACCUCUGAGCCAUCUGUCCAGCCCCCAACUAUCCAUCCAUUUUUAUCAUUGACUGUUCAUAACGAUUAAAAGUUCUCUUUUUGUUUUUGUCUUUUUGCAACAGGGUCUUGCUAUAUGUCUCUGGCUGUUGUGUUAGUCACUCUGUUGACCAGGCAGAGGUAGGUGUAUCUGUCUGAGUUCCAGGAUGGCCAGGGCUACACAGAGAAACUGUGCCCUGACACUCCCCACCCCACCCCCAAAAAAGGAGUGCUCUUAUUGUUGAAAUGAGUUGGAAGAAUACUUGACUCUAAACACCUAGAGAACAGAUCACCUUUACACUAUGAGACGGUGUCUUUGAGCUAUUUUUAUUGGUGUGCCCAGGUUCUUGCCUUUGAGGAAAAGUAUAGAACAAGAAAUGAUUUUCUUGUGAUAUUAAAGAUGCUGUUUUAUUCUAUUUGUACUCUGAGAUGUGAGUUAGGAUCUGCCAAUGCCGUGAUGCUUAGAAAAGUGGCACAAUCAGCUAGAUGUAUCUGCAGAGGACAGGCACCAAGACUGUGCUUGACCGGCUCUUGGCAUUUACUAUAGGAUAUAAUGUGCUUUCAUUGUACCCAGCAGGACUUAAGAUAGUAAUGCCUACAUAAUCUGGGGCAUAAGUAUGUGGAAAUAAACAUGAGCUUCACAUCCCAGGAAUUCCAUAUCCUUUGCUUUGCAGGAAACACAACAAAAGGAUCCUCCAAGCCAUAUACAUGUACACACAUUGUUGGGUUCUUAUUGACUACAGAAGCUGAUGCCCUGGGCCCUCUCCUCUGCCUCACUUUGCC